rnacentral:rRNA from 1 species
UACGGGGGGGGCGAGCGUUGUCCGCAGUUACUGGGCGUAAAGCGCGUGUAGGCGGGUUGUUAAGUCCGCUGUGAAAGCCCGGUGCUCAACGCCGGAGGGUCGGUGGAUACUGGCAGUCUUGAAGUGGCUAGGGGGAAAUGGAAUUACCGGUGUAGCGGUGAAAUGCGUAGAUAUCGGUAGGAACACCAGUGGCGAAGGCGGUUUCCUGGAGCUAACUUGACGCUGAGACGCGAAAGCUGGGGGAGCAAACGGG